GCAUGGGGAUAGCGGCGCCUCUUCGGAGGCUUUAGCGAAAGUGCCGGUAAUACCCAAUGACAUCGGAUGGCCGCAUGGCCGACCGAUCAAACGGUGGGGACCCUUCGGGGCCUAUCGGCUCGGGAGCGGCCCAUGUCCUAUCAGCUUGUUGGUGAGGUAACGGCUCACCAAGGCUUCUACGGGUAGCGGGCGUGAGAGCGUGGCCCGCCACAUCGGGACUGAGACACUGCCCGGACACCUACGGGUGGCUGCAGCAACGAAUAUUCCGCAAUGGGCGAAAGCCUGACGGAGCGACGCCGCGUGCAGGAUGAAGUCCUUCGGGAUGUAAACUGCUGUCGAGGGUAGGCAAGCAAGGGGCUCUAAUAUAGCCCGGCGUUGAGCCGCCCCAAAGGAAGCCUCGGCUAACUCCGUGCCAGCAGCCGCGGUAAUACGGAGGAGGCAAGCGUUGUUCGGAAUCAUUGGGCUUAAAGCGCGUGUAGGCGGAUCGGUAAGUGUCUUGUGAAAGCCCUCGGCUCAACCGAGGAAUGGCUGGGCAUACUGCCGAUCUUGAGGCAGGUAGGGGCGGGUGGAACUCUAGGUGGAGCGGUGAAAUGCGUAGAUAUCUAGAGGAACGCCGGUGGCGAAAGCGACCCGCUGGGCCUGUUCUGA
rnacentral:rRNA from 1 species